rnacentral:tRNA from 1 species
GAGGGUAUAGCUCAGUGAUAGAGUGUUUGCUUAGCAUGCAUGAGGUCUUGGGUUCAAUCCCCAGUAUCUCUA